UACAGAGGUCCCAAGCGUUGUUCGGAUUCAUUGGGCGUAAAGGGUGCGUAGGUGGCGCCGUAAGUCAGGUGUGAAAUUUCGGAGCUUAACUCCGAAACUGCAUUUGAUACUGCGGUGCUUGAGGACUGGAGAGGAGACUGGAAUUUACGGUGUAGCAGUGAAAUGCGUAGAGAUCGUAAGGAAGACCAGUGGCGAAGGCGGGUCUCUGGACGGUUCCUGACACUGAGGCACGAAGGCCAGGGGAGCAAACGGG
rnacentral:rRNA from 1 species